rnacentral:misc_RNA from 1 species
GUGAAUCAUCGAAUCUUUGAACGCAAAUUGCACUCUCUUCGGAGAGUAUGAGUGUUUGAGGGUCAGACUAAAAAAAUCUGACAAAGGUGCUGUUUCGGGGUGAUAUUGGUCGGUUAAUGGGUCACAUUAAAAAUUUGGGUUAAUGAGGUUUAAAAUUUCCUUUAAGUAUCAAUGAAUGUUUAUAAGAUUUAAUUUCUUAAAU